UUUUUUCUUUGUUUUUUCUUUUUUCUUUUCAUGGCUACACCCACAACAUAUGGAGGUUUCCAGACUAGGGGUCUAUCUGGCCUACACCACAGCUCACAGCAAUGCCAGAUCCUUAACCCACUGAGGGAGGCCGGUGAUCGAACCUGCAUCCUCUGGAUACUAGUUGGGUUUGUUACUGCUGAACCACAGUGGGAACUCCAGUCAUUUAAUAUAAAAAGCGUAAAAAACAUUAUUAUUUGGUUUUGCCGAACAGUAAUUCAUUAUAUUUGAAAAUUUGGAUCAUGUUAAAUAUAUUCCAGAACUUAUUUAAUUAUAAUAAGAUUUGAUUGUAAGCAGAUCAUCCUUAUGCUUAUUCAAGAGUCAUGAUACACUGUUUAUGUGGACUCUGGUACAGUGAAGGAAGAAAAGUCUAGAGGGAACAUGGACCAGAGGCAAAUGUCAGGUUAUAAGUAUGACUUUUAAGUUGUUACAUUUUAGCGCUGAGGAUUUAGAUACUAAUCUAUAGCAAAUAAGCAAAUACUGAAGGCUUGGACCUGGUUUGUGCAAUUAACUGUUGAGUGGUGAGGAAGAUUAAAGUAAGGGGACUCCAAUGAGAAAAGCAUGAUCCUUAUUUUUUAUCAAUUACACCAAUAAAUUGUACACAAGAUGGAGAACCAUGAAAGACAACUUACUGUUCAUUUCAGACUAAAUCUUUGAGACUGAGCAUAUGAGGGCUUGUUUAUGUUAUUUUGUUUGUGUAAGAAGGAAAAUUGGACUAGAAGCUAGAAAUCACUGGUUAAUUCAAUGCCAUUUCCUCAUCAUACCAAGCUAGGAAGCAGGAUUCCUACAAAUACUUCUUAUAAUAGUUUCAGAGUUUUAGCAAAUGAUCAUUAGAAAAAUGACUCUUCAAGGAGUUCCCGUUGUGGCACAGUGGAAAUGAAUCCAGCUAGGAAGCAUGGGGUUUCUGGUUCGAUCCCUGGCCUCGCUUAGUGGGUUAAGGAUCCAAAGCUGCCAUGAGCUGUGGUGUUGGUCACAGACGCGGCUCAGAUCUGGCAUUGCUAUGGCUCUGGUGUAGGUCGGCAGCUACAGCUCCAAUUAGACCCCUAGCCUGGGAACCUCCAUAUGCCACAGGUAUGGCCCUAAAAAGACAAAAGACAAAAAAAAAAAAAAGAUAAAUGACUCUUUAAUUGAAUUUCCCUUAAUUGAAACUGUCUUCUCAUCUCCUUAAACAUUACUCCUAUAUACACCCCCCUUGAAAGCACCCCAACAGCCACAACCACCAUGACAAACCUCUCUUGAUGAUCUAACAGCUUCUCAAUUGCUAAGGAAGGAACAGAUUCAAGAGCUUUCUCCUGGGUGGAUCUCUUCCACGACAGAGGUGUUUUACAGUCAAUAUUUUGCAGCAAAGCAGUGCAUUAAAGCACUUCUGAAGCAUCAGGGAGCUGUGAGUCAGCAAAAUUCCUGUGGUGCACAACCACAUCAUUUCCCUUUGAGCCACCCCAUUUAAUUCUUGGAGCCUGCUAUUUGGGUAAUCUCAGAAUGCUAGGGAAAUGACUGAAAGCAGUAAUAGGUUAAAAAAAAAAAAGUAUACAUGUAUGUGUUGGGCAUGGGCAAAAUGAGUGGUUUUUUUUAGAAGUGUGUCCAUUUGGUUGCUAUUGAAGUUCUAUGAAGAAAUAGAUACAAAUACAUGCAAUGACACACAAAAAAAUACAUAAAUUAAACACCUAGGAAAUAGUGAGGGGCCACUGCUGUGCACAUUCUAAAUAAUCCUUUAGGACGAAGGCGUUCACUGAACCAGGUGUCUGGUGGCGCCCCAGGUGUCCUAGGAUGCUGAUGCCUCACUGCUGGGUCCCUCUCCAGUAAAAUUCGCUGAAGAACUUUACUUAAGGUGACACCCUUCCCAGGGGCAAUAUGCACCCAAUCACUGGUCCAUGUGGUUAUACAAAGACCUGGUUCCCUUGCUUCUGUUGGUACAAGGGAGUCACCUUAGAGCCCUACAGAACAUUGGCUGAGGCCUCAGUUGUACUGCUGACUUUCACUCAACCUCACCCUCUGCCCAGGCCUGUGUGCCCUCACAGAUGUUGCUUUUAAGAACCAUUCAAAAGCCCCUCUAAGUAAUUCUGAGUCUCUUUCUCAGGAAACCUAAGACUCUUAAUACUGGAAGUGAACCUGGGGAAGCCUUUAAAACUAGAUCUGGGAGCCAGAUCAUCCACUGGCUUGUGGACAAUGAGUGCCUCAGUUCUGGUGGCAGGCCAAGGACUGACAGCCCCCAGUGCUUUAUAGUACCACUGUUAAAACUUUCAUCAUGGGAGUUCCUUCUGUGGCACAGCAGGUUAAGAAUUUGACACAGUAUCUGUGAGGAUACAGGUUCAAUCCCUGAACUUGCUCAGUAGGUUAAAGAUCCAGUGUUGCCACAAGCUGCAGUAUUGGUUGCAGAUGCAGCUAGGAUCCUAUGAUGCUGUGGCUGUGGCAUAGGCCUAUAGCUGAAGCUCAGAUUAGAACCCUAGCCUGGGAACUUCUAUAUGCCAUGGGUACAGCCCU
rnacentral:lncRNA from 1 species